UACGUAGGGGGCGAGCGUUGUCCGGAUUUAUUGGGCGUAAAGAGCUCGUAGGCGGUUUGGUAAGUUGGAUGUGAAAUCUCCAGGCUCAACUUGGAGGGGUCAUUCGAUACUGCCAUGACUAGAGUUCGGUAGGGGAGACUGGAAUUCCUGGUGUAGCGGUGAAAUGCGCAGAUAUCAGGAGGAACACCGGUGGCGAAGGCGGGUCUCUGGGCCGAUACUGACGCUGAGGAGCGAAAGCGUGGGGAGCGAACAGG
rnacentral:rRNA from 1 species